rnacentral:ncRNA from 2 species
AGAAAAAUACGUUCGCAGCGAAAAGCCACGAAACGUGGCCGAGGGAAGCCGGGUGCAAAUCCCGCGUGGAGCCGCCGCUGUAAGAGCAUGAGCAGUGCUCCGAUAUGCCACUGUGAUUUAUCAUGGGAAGGCGGAGCCUGCGACGACGCUCAAGCCAGAAGACCUGCGCUGCGAACUGAAAUCCA